rnacentral:rRNA from 1 species
CAACUUUCAGCAACGGAUCUCUUGGCUCUCGCAUCGAUGAAGAACGCAGCGAAUCACGAUACGUAAUGUGAAUUGCAGAUUUUCAGUGAAUCAUCGAAUCUUUGAACGCACCUUGCGCUCCUUGGUAUUCCGAGGAGCAUGCCUGUUUGAGUGUCAU